GUGGGGAAUAUUGGACAAUGGGCGAAAGCCUGAUCCAGCCAUGCCGCGUGUGUGAAGAAGGUCUUCGGAUUGUAAAGCACUUUAAGUUGGGAGGAAGGGCAGUAAGUUAAUACCUUGCUGUUUUGACGUUACCGACAGAAUAAGCACCGGCUAACUUCGUGCCAGCAGCCGCGGUAAUACGAAGGGUGCAAGCGUUAAUCGGGAUUACUGGGCGUAAAGCGCGCGUAGGUGGUUUUGUAAGUUGGAGGUGAAAUCCCCGGGCUCAACCUGGGAACUGCCUACAAAACUACAUGACUAGAGUACGGUAGAGGGUAGUGGAAUUUCCUGUGUAGCGGUGAAAUGCGUAGAUAUAGGAAGGAACACCAGUGGCGAAGGCGACUACCUGGACUGAUACUGACACUGAGGUGCGAAAGCGUGGGGAGCAAACAGGAUUAGAUACCCUAGUAGUCC
rnacentral:rRNA from 1 species